UUAGGUAGGGCCUCAUGCCCUGAUUUCCUCCCCAUUUCCCGUAUUCACUCUCUCUCUCUUCCUCAGACUCUCUUUCUUCCUCAGACCUUCACUCUCUCUCUCUCUCACCCUCUCGAACACCCGGGCAACCACCAAAACCACCAUAAAUCUAUACCAACGACGAAUCUAAGACCACCAUUGGAAUCCUGAAGACUACACGAACACAAUGGUACCCAUUUCAGGUAAGUUCUACUUCGGAAAACGUAGUUUUAAAAGUUCCCGUGAAUGUGUACUGUUCAUGAGCUUUGAAUUGGUUGAUUUUUAGGACAAUCCAAGCUCAUAGUGAGCUUA
rnacentral:lncRNA from 1 species